AUGGAUCAGGAGCUGAUCGAGCACCUUGAGGCCAAAGUGAGUGCUGACAGCGCGAGAUCUCACCCUCUCAUCGAUUUGUUCAUACCAACCAUCGACAGCGAGCACGGCAUAUGCUACACCCAUCCUGAGAAAUUUCCAGGUAUCACACUGAGUGGCCUAAGCAAGCAUUUCUUCCAGCGCAAUUCCAGGGCGUUCAAAAGGGGCACGUGGACGCAUCGCAAGAUACAGUCGGAGUGCGGCAUGCACGCGAUGUGGCACAACACUGGCAAUACCUUGCCGGUGAUGGCCAACGGCCGGCAGACGGGCAGCAAAAAGGUUCUGGUGCUGCACACCAACAAGAACUUCGACCAGCAAAGGACCAACUGGGUGAUGCACCAGUACCACCUCGGGGACCUGGAGCAAGAGAAGGAGCGGGAGCUGGUCCUCUGCAAGAUUUUCUACCAGACGAACACUAGGGCAAGGAGUAAAAAGAUUAUUAGUUUGGUAUUGGUACUUGAACUACCUUGUCGUCCGCAAGUUGGUAUUGUUGUUAACGAUCUUUUGACCCAGCCCAUGGCGACAACGGGGCACAAAGAUCCAGCAAGUAUCUACUGGCAUCUGGCCCGCCAACGUUAG
rnacentral:rRNA from 1 species